rnacentral:rRNA from 2 species
UACGGAGGAUCCAAGCGUUAUCCGGAUUUAUUGGGUUUAAAGGGUGCGUAGGCGGCCUGUUAAGUCAGAGGUGAAAGACGGUAGCUCAACUAUCGCAGUGCCUUUGAUACUGAUGGGCUUGAAUGAACUAGAGGUAGGCGGAAUGAGACAAGUAGCGGUGAAAUGCAUAGAUAUGUCUCAGAACACCGAUUGCGAAGGCAGCUUACUAUGGUUUUAUUGACGCUGAGGCACGAAAGCGUGGGGAUCAAACAGG